rnacentral:rRNA from 1 species
AUUGAACGCUGGCGGCAUGCCUUACACAUGCAAGUCGAACGGUAACAGGUCUUCGGAUGCUGACGAGUGGCGAACGGGUGAGUAAUACAUCGGAACGUGCCCGAUCGUGGGGGAUAACGAGGCGAAAGCUUUGCUAAUACCGCAUAAGAUCUACGGAUGAAAGCCGGGGACCGCAAGGCCUUGCGCGAACGGAGCGGCCGAUGGCAGAUUAGGUAGUUGGUGGGAUAAAAGCUUACCAAGCCGACGAUCUGUAGCUGGUCUGAGAGGACGACCAGCCACACUGGGACUGAGACACGGCCCAGACUCCUACGGGAGGCAGCAGUGGGGAAUUUUGGACAAUGGGCGAAAGCCUGAUCCAGCCAUGCCGCGUGCAGGAUGAAGGCCUUCGGGUUGUAAACUGCUUUUGUACGGAACGAAAAGACUCUGGUUAAUACCUGGGGUCCAUGACGGUACCGUAAGAAUAAGCACCGGCUAACUACGUG